UAAAAACCCCGACUUCGGAAGGGGUGUAUUUAUUAGAUACAAAACCAAUGCCCUUCGGGGCUCUUUGGUGAUUCAUGAUAACUAUACGAAUCGCACGGCCUUGCGCCGGCGAUGGUUCAUUCAAAUUUCUUCCCUAUCAACUUUCGAUGUUUGGGUAUUGGCCAAACAUGGUUGCAACGGGUAACGGAGGGUUAGGGCUCGACCCCGGAGAAGGAGCCUGAGAAACGGCUACUACAUCCAAGGAAGGCAGUAGGCGCGCAAAUUACCCAAUCCCGACUCGGGGAGGUAGUGACAAUAAAUACUGAUACGGGGCCCUUUCGGGCCUUGUAAUUGGAAUGAGUACAAUUUAAAUCCCUUAACGAGGAACAAUUGGAGGGCAAGUCUGGUGCCAGCAGCCGCGGUAAUUCCAGCUCCAAUAGCGUAUAUUAAAGUUGUUGUGGUUAAAAAGCUCGUAGUUGAACCUUGGGCCUGGCUGGCCGGUCCGCCUCACCGCGUGCACUGGUCCGGCCGGGCCUUUCCCUCUGUGGAACCCCAUACCCUUCACUGGGCGUGGCGGGGAAACAGGACAUUUACUUU
rnacentral:rRNA from 1 species